AACGAACGCUGGCGGCAUGCCUAACACAUGCAAGUCGAACGAGACCUUCGGGUCUAGUGGCGCACGGGUGCGUAACGCGUGGUAACCUGCCCUUAGGUUCGGAAUAACUCCCCGAAAGGGGUGCUAAUACCGGAUAAUGUCUUCGGACCAAAGAUUUAUCGCCUUUGGAUGGGCCCGCGUUGGAUUAGCUAGUUGGUAGGGUAAAAGCCUACCAAGGCGACGAUGCAUAGCUGGUAUGAGAGGAUGAUCAGCCACACUGGGACUGAGACACGGCCCAGACUCCUACGGGAGGCAGCAGUGGGGAAUAUUGGACAAUGGGGGAAAGCCUGAUCAAGCAAUGCCGCGUGAGUGAUGAAGGCCUUAGGGUUGUAAAGCUCUUUUACCCGGGAUGAUAAUGACAGUACCGGGAGAAUAAGCACCGGCUAACUACGUG
rnacentral:rRNA from 1 species